rnacentral:rRNA from 1 species
GACGAACGCUGGCGGCGUGCUUAACACAUGCCAGUCGAACGGAAAGGCCCUGCUUUGGUGGGGUGCUCGAGUGGCGAACGGGUGGGUAACACGGGAGUAACCUGCCCUGGACUUUGGGAUAACUUCAGGAAACUGGGGCUAAUACCGGAUAGGCGCUCCCGCUGCAUGGUGGGGGUUGGAAAGUUUCGGCGGUUGGGGAUGGACUCGCGGCUUAUCAGCUUGCUGGUGGGGUAGUGGCUGACCAAGGCUUUGACGGGUAGCCGGCCUUAGAGGGUGACCGGCCACAUUGGGACUGAGAUACGGCCCAGACGCCUACGGGCGGCAGCAGUGGGGAGUAUUGCGCAGUGGGGCGACGUGUGAGGCGGCAGCUUCGCGUGCGGGAUGACGGGCUUCGGGUUGUAAACCGCUUUCGCAUGUGACGAAGCGUGAGUGACGGUAAUGGGUAAAGAAGCCCCGGCUAACUACGUG